AGUAACGGAGGAGCACGAAGGUUGGCUAAUCCUGGUCGGACAUCAGGAGGUUAGUGCAAUGGCAUAAGCCAGCUUGACUGCGAGCGUGACGGCGCGAGCAGGUGCGAAAGCAGGUCAUAGUGAUCCGGUGGUUCUGAAUGGAAGGGCCAUCGCUCAACGGAUAAAAGGUACUCCGGGGAUAACAGGCUGAUACCGCCCAAGAGUUCAUAUCGACGGCGGUGUUUGGCACCUCGAUGUCGGCUCAUCACAUCCUGGGGCUGAAGUAGGUCCCAAGGGUAUGGCUGUUCGCCAUUUAAAGUGGUACGCGAGCUGGGUUUAGAACGUCGUGAGACAGUUCGGUCCCUAUCUGCCGUGGGCGCUGGAGAACUGAGGGGGGCUGCUCCUAGUACGAGAGGACCGGAGUGGACGCAUCACUGGUGUUCGGGUUGUCAUGCCAAUGGCACUGCCCGGUAGCUAAAUGCGGAAGAGAUAAGUGCUGAAAGCAUCUAAGCACGAAACUUGCCCCGAGAUGAGUUCUCCCUGACCCUUUAAGGGUCCUGAAGGAACGUUGAAGACGACGACGUUGAUAGGCCGGGUGUGUAAGCGCAGCGAUGCGUUGAGCUAACCGGUACUAAUGAACCGUGAGG
rnacentral:rRNA from 1 species